GAUUCCACCACAAUCCAAGUUUACGAGGAAACAGCUGGGCUAACGGUCAAUGAUCCCGUGUUGAGAACAAAAAAGCCUCUUUCAUGUGAGUUGGGACCUGGUAUUCUUGGAAACAUCUUUGAUGGGAUCCAGCGUCCUCUGAAAACUAUUGCUAUUAAAUCCGAAGAUGUCUACAU